rnacentral:rRNA from 1 species
GGCUGCAGAAUUUAUAACUGUACAAAGGUAGCAUAAUAAUUUGUUUUUUAAUUAAAAACUAGAAUGAAUGAUUAAAUGAAAUAUAAACUGUUUCAAUUAAAUAAAAAUUUAAAUUUUUAUUUAAGUUAAAAAACUUAAAUAAAUUUAAAAGACGACAAGACCCUAUAGAAUUUUUUUUUUUAAAAAGAAAAAAAAAAUAAUUAAUUUAUUAAAAUUUUUUAAAUAAAUUUAAUUGGGGUAAUUAUAAAAUUUAAAUAAUUUUUUUUUUUUUACACAAAAAUUAUUGACUUUAAUAACUUAAAAUUUUAAAUAUUAAAAUUAAUUACCUUAGGGAUAACAGCAUAAUUUUUUUUAAAAGUUCAUAUU